AGGGCUGAUAUCUGCUAACCACCUUUCUAAAAGAUUACAAGCAUGUCUGCAUCUGAGCCCAAGGAGCCAGCCCUGGGAGGCCUCUCUGUUCAAGCAGCAUGUGAGUCCUCUUCUAGGGCUGCAGACCUAACCGGGUGCCUGAGCACAGGCUGGGAUCUAGAGAGAAGUCCACAUGAAGGUGACAAAUGGAACAGCUGCCAAAUGGGGGCACUUUCCAAGUUGUUAUGCCAGAUCUACUGAAAAUAUUCCGCCCCUGUGACUGAACCUGUAAAGGAAAGGAAUUAAAUCCAAAUGUAUCACAGUAUCACCAAGGUUGGAAGAGACCUCACAGAUCAUCAAGUCCAACCCUUUACCACAGCGCUCAAGGCUAGACCAUGGCACCAAGUGCCACGUCCAAUCCUGCCUUGAACAGCUCCAGGCACGGCGACUCCACCACCUCCCCGGGCAGCUGUGUAUAUUCAACUCAGAUGAAAUCAUAGGAAGUUCCACCAGAACAUGAGGAAGAAUCUUCUUUACUUUGAGGGUGAUGACACACCAGAAAAGGCUGCCCAUAGAGAUUGUAGUCUCCUCCUCUGAAGACUUUCAAAACCUGUCUGGGCAUGAUCCUGUGCAACCUGAUCAAGGUGGACAUGCAUUAGCAGGGCUUUGGACUUGAUCCCCAGAGGUCCCUUUCAAACCUGUAAUAUUCUGGGAAUCCUUGUGAAGUCCUGUAUGUGACAAAUAUAUGUUUGAUCCCAUCAAUUCAUGGCAAGAGGCCACAGACAGGGAGGAAGGGGGGUUUUGAGUGGAGCUGCACUCCUUGCACAGCCAUCACAAGAGUAUACACUUGGCUUAAAGUAACAGCAAUAAAUAAUUAGAAACUAGAAAGGUUGGUGGAGGAGGAAGGCAGGUGGAAGAGACAGCCUUUGCACAUGAGCAAACAGAGGAAGAGUCAUACAAAGGACACUACUAGUUUGGAGUUCAUACAAAGGACACUUGAGGAAGUGUAUGGACACUUGAGGAAGACCCCUUACUUCAUCACUGAAAGACCACCAGAGGGACCACUGGAUAAAAAGAGACAUUCGUGGAAGAGACACCUCCCAUUCUUAGAACUGAUAAGGCAAACCCAACCUUUUCUUAGAGUUAGUAAUGAAUAUGUAAUAGGAUAGGAUAUAAAAAGAGAAAACUGAAAACAAAAGGUGUGCAUUAGGGUAGAGCAGAGCCUCCCCACGCACCCAGGCCUGUACAUUGCUUGAUU